rnacentral:rRNA from 1 species
AGAGUUUGAUCCUGGCUCAGGAUGAACGCUGGCGGCGUGCCUAAUACAUGCAAGUCGAACGAAACUUCUUUAUCACCGAGUGCUUGCACUCACCGAUAAAGAGUUGAGUGGCGAACGGGUGAGUAACACGUGGGCAACCUGCCCAAAAGAGGGGGAUAACACUUGGAAACAGGUGCUAAUACCGCAUAACCAUAGUUACCGCAUGGUAACUAUGUAAAAGGUGGCUAUGCUACCGCUUUUGGAUGGGCCCGCGGCGCAUUAGCUAGUUGGUGGGGUAAAGGCUUACCAAGGCAAUGAUGCGUAGCCGAACUGAGAGGUUGAUCGGCCACAUUGGGACUGAGACACGGCCCAAACUCCUACGGGAGGCAGCAGUAGGGAAUCUUCCACAAUGGGCGAAAGCCUGAUGGAGCAACGCCGCGUGGGUGAAGAAGGUCUUCGGAUCGUAAAACCCUGUUGUUAGAGAAGAAAGUGCGUGAGAGUAACUGUUCACGUUUCGACGGUAUCUAACCAGAAAGCCACGGCUAACUACGUGCCAGCAGCCGCGGUAAUACGUAGGUGGCAAGCGUUAUCCGGAUUUAUUGGGCGUAAAGGGAACGCAGGCGGUCUUUUAAGUCUGAUGUGAAAGCCUUCGGCUUAACCGGAGUAGUGCAUUAGAAACUGGGAGACUUGAGUGCAGAAGAGGAGAGUGGAACUCCAUGUGUAGCGGUGAAAUGCGUAGAUAUAUGGAAGAACACCAGUGGCGAAAGCGGCUCUCUGGUCUGUAACUGACGCUGAGGUUCGAAAGCGUGGGUAGCAAACAGGAUUAGAUACCCUGGUAGUCCACGCCGUAAACGAUGAAUGCUAAGGGUUGGAGGGGUUUCCGCCCUUCAGUGGCUGCAGCUAACGCAAUAAGCAUUCCGCUGGGGAGUACGACCGCAGGUUGAAACUCAAGGGAAUGGACGGGGGCCCGCACAAGCGGUGGAGCAUGUGGUUUAAUUGGAAGCAACGCGAAGAACCUUACCAGGUCUUGACAUCUUUUGACAAUCCUAGAGAUAGGACUUUCCCUUCGGGGACAAAAUGACAGGUGGUGCAUGGUUGUCGUCAGCUCGUGUCGUGAGAUGUUGGGUUAAGUCCCGCAACGAGCGCAACCCUUAUUGUUAGUUGCCAGCAUUAAGUUGGGCACUCUAGCAAGACUGCCGGUGACAAACCGGAGGAAGGUGGGGAUGACGUCAAAUCAUCAUGCCCCUUAUGACCUGGGCUACACACGUGCUACAAUGGACGGUACAACGAGUCGCAAGACCGCGAGGUUUAGCAAAUCUCUUAAAGCCGUUCUCAGUUCGGAUUGUAGGCUGCAACUCGCCUACAUGAAGUCGGAAUCGCUAGUAAUCGCGGAUCAGCAUGCCGCGGUGAAUACGUACCCGGGCCUUGCACUCACCGCCCGUCA